GACAGAGGGUGCAAGCGUUAAUCGGAAUUACUGGGCGUAAAGCGCGCGUAGGUGGUUCGUUAAGUUGGAUGUGAAAUCCCCGGGCUCAACCUGGGAACUGCAUUCAAAACUGUCGAGCUAGAGUAUGGUAGAGGGUGGUGGAAUUUCCUGUGUAGCGGUGAAAUGCGUAGAUAUAGGAAGGAACACCAGUGGCGAAGGCGACCACCUGGACUGAUACUGACACUGAGGUGCGAAAGCGUGGGGAGCAAACAGU
rnacentral:rRNA from 1 species